AUUGAACGCUGGCGGCAGGCCUAACACAUGCAAGUCGAACGAGUGGCGGACGGGUGAGUAAUGUCUGGGAAACUGCCCGAUGGAGGGGGAUAACUACUGGAAACGGUAGCUAAUACCGCAUACCAUCGGAUGUGCCCAGAUGGGAUUAGCUAGUAGGUGGGGUAAAGGCUCACCUAGGCGACGAUCCCUAGCUGGUCUGAGAGGAUGACCAGCCACAUGGGAACGGAGACAGGGUCCAGACUCCUACGGGAGGCAGCAGUGGGGAAUAUUGCACAAUGGGCGCAAGCCUGAUGCAGCCAUGCCGCGUGUAGGAAGAAGGCCUUCGGGUUGUAAAGUACUUUCAGCGGGGAGGCGUUACCCGCAGAAGAAGCACCGGCUAACUCCGUGCCAGCAGCCGCGGUAAUAC
rnacentral:rRNA from 1 species